GGCAGGACCCGGACUCAAGGAUUCGACUCCAGACCUUUCCCUCUGCACCACCAGCCUCCCUCCUGUGCCUCCUCUAUGUUCCCUGGAAUCCCGAGGAUGCAGCUGGGGGCUUCAGAAAGCUUUAAGGAUUCCCAUGCUCCUUGGAAUCGAGCCCAGAAAUGGAAAUCUGAUAUAGAGCUAGUGAGGCAAUGAAGCCCAGCCUUUGAAAACGGACAGACCUGCCAUGGAGUAAGAGGUAGCCCUGAGGCAAACCCUGCCCCCCACGGCCCACUCCCAGAGUGAGGAGACUUCAGGCCAUUCCCACUCAUCCAUGGGGCUAGAAGACUGAAUGUGGCAGCCAGCCCCAAGCCUGCUGACCGGCUCCAUAGCAGAGUAAUAUCCAGAGAAAGAGGCUUUGAGGUGUUAAGAGGCCAUGUGGGGAACCCCAUGUGGCAGGGAACUGUGAGCAGCCUCUUGGAGCUGAUGACAUCCUUUACUGACAGCCAGCAAGAAGC